rnacentral:rRNA from 1 species
UUCUGGCUCAGGAUGAACGCUGGCGGCGUGCCUAACACAUGCAAGUCGAACGGAAACUAAGCGCUUCGGAGACUUCGGUCAAUGUUGUUUGGUUUAGUGGCGGACGGGUGAGUAACGCGUGGAUAACCUGCCAUAUACAGGGGGAUAACAGUUAGAAAUGACUGCUAAUACCGCAUAAGCGCACAGUCUCGCAUGGGACAGUGUGAAAAACUCCGGUGGUAUAUGAUGGAUCCGCGUCUGAUUAGCCAGUUGGCGGGGUAACGGCCCACCAAAGCGACGAUCAGUAGCCGGCCUGAGAGGGUGAACGGCCACAUUGGGACUGAGACACGGCCCAAACUCCUACGGGAGGCAGCAGUGGGGGAUAUUGCACAAUGGGGGAAACCCUGAUGCAGCCGACGCCGCGUGAGUGAAGAAGUAUUUCGGUAUGUAAAGCUCUAUCAGCAGGGAAGAUAAUGACGGUACCUGACUAAGAAGCACCGGCUAAAUACGUGCCAGCCGCGGC